rnacentral:tRNA from 1 species
GGAGGCGAGUCGGGACUGGUGUCCUGCGCGGUCUUCAAAACCGUUGGGCGGCCCGGAUCGGGUCGCAGGUGGGUUCGAUUCCCAUGCGCCUCCGCCA